UACGGCCACGUCAAGUUAAAACACCAGUUCCCUUACGAUCCCCGGAGUUAAGCAAUGUCAAGCUUGGGUAAUACAUGGAAGGGUGACCGCUUAAGAAUACUAUGUACAGUA